ensembl:lncRNA
CUCUGCUUGUUUUCUAAACAUACUGGAACUCUUAAGAAAGCCAGCGAGGUGCCCCACCUUGAAGAUGUGAAAGUCAGUACAAGCAAGACACGGGCAAGUCAUCGACCUGCUGGAGCUGGCCUUCAACUGAGCAGCAGGCAAGAAAUACCAUUGCAGAAGACGAGUGUUUUACUGAGAUCCGGCCUCCUCUGCCAUACGUUGCAGCAUCAACUGCAUGACAAACAAUUCUGCUUUCUGGGAAGUCUGGAAUAGGAGCAGCCAGUUAACAUGCAAUAAACAGGC